rnacentral:rRNA from 1 species
AGGAUGAACGCUGGCGGCGUGCCUAACACAUGCAAGUCGAACGUCCUGUCUCGCAAGAGGCAGGGAGUGGCGGACGGGUGAGUACCACGUGGGUUAUCUACCGUGAGGUGAGGAAUACCGGCGAGAAAUCGCCGACAAGACCGCAUAGCCUCGGUGCAAGCCGAGGAAAGCUUUCUCGAGAGAGGGAGCGCCACACGAGGAGCCUGCGCCCGAUUAGCUAGCUGGUGGAGUAACGGUUCACCAGGGCGACGAUCGGUAGCUGGUCUGAGAGGACGAUCAGCCACACUGGGAUUGAGAACGGCCCAGACUCCUACGGGGGGCAGCAGUGAGGAAUUUUCGUCAAUGGGGGCAACCCUGAACGAGCAACGCCGCGUGCAGGAAGAAGGUUUUCGGAUCGUAAACUGUCUUUUCUCGGGGAAGAGGAACGGACGGUACCCGAGGAAUCACGCCCGGCUAACGUACGCGCCAGCACGCCGCGGUAA